UACUAGAGUAGCACUCGCAUAUCAAUAAGCGGAGGAAAAGAAACUAACAAGGAUUCCCCUAGUAACGGCGAGUGAAGCGGGAAGAGCUCAAUUUGAAAUCUUAAAGGGUUUCCCUUUACGAAUUGUAGUUUAAAGAAGUGUUUUCUGUUGAGGUUUUGGUAAAAGUUCUUUGGAAUAGGACAUCAUAGAGGGUGAGAAUCCCGUAUUUGACCUUUACUUUCAACUUUGUGAUACACUUUCAAAGAGUCGGAUUGUUUGGGAAUGCAGUCCAAAAUGGGUGGUAAAUUUCAUCUAAAGCUAAAUAUUGGCGAGAGACCGAUAGCGAACAAGUACCGUGAGGGAAAGAUGAAAAGAACUUUGAAAAGAGAGUUAAACAGUACGUGAAAUUGUCAAAAGGGAAGCGUUUGACACCAGUGUUGUUUUUCUGAAAAUCAAUUAAAGAACUGUUUAUGCUAAGUUGUUUAGACUUUAUCAGCUAUCUGUUUAGUUUUAGGCUUUUCUUUAAUGCACUUUUCAGUUAACAAGUCAACAUCAAUUUCUUUUGCUGUAAAAAAGCUUGAGGAAGGUGGCUUGAGAUUCGUCUUAAGUGUUUAUAGCCUCUUGCCUAUGCAGUCGGAGAGAUUGAGGUCUGCAGCGUAGAUCCUUCGGGGCUAAAUGCAUUUGUGCUAAGUUAUAGCAUUUUAUAGACAACUUGUUGACUAUGAUUUGUCUUGUAGCUUACUCGCUUAUGUUAUUUUACCUACGCUUAGGAUGUUGAGCGCAUGUCUCUCUCU
rnacentral:rRNA from 1 species